GCAGGUUAAGGGACAUAGGAAGUAAUACAAGUGCAGUAACUUCCAUUUCUAUCUUCGGAGGAGAACGUGAGCCUUUGAGUUGAGGAAAGUGGUAAAUCAGUGCUCUGGCUGGUAUCCCUCAUGCUUUAGAGCUCUUCACAUGGAGUCGGUGUGACUACGUGAGUUAACUGAGUGCUAACGACUUCACGAUCGCUCACGCAUUUAAAGGAGAUCCCUGCUCAAGUUCAUUGGGAACAUUUCUUUGUUCUGUAGCCAUUGUAGUGCCAUGGAUGAUUUAUGGUUUCAUGUGGAAAAGACAGAGGAUGCCUGCGUUCCUGUGUCCGUGAGGAGGCCUGCCUCCAUUCGUCACUGGAGCUCACCACUUGGGAGUCUGCUUGGAUGAUUAUCUCCAUCUGACAGUGAGAGGCAUCUGUGCGGAGCCGGUCCUUGGUCCUCCGUAACAACACAGGAUCCCACACAGAGAGGAGGAGGCAAGAGACAACAGCUCCCCACACAAGACCAAUCUGGACUUGUUCCAUGUGGGUGACAAAGCGAAGUCCUCUCCUUGCUUGUCCCUUGCCUUCCUGUGCAGCAGGACUGCCAGAAAUCACAGCGGUGCAGUACUCAGCAGGAUGACAAGGAACCCCCAGUCUGGAAGAGAAGCAGCCCUGAUGUUCCUGUGUUCCUGCUGCUCAGCAAAGUGGUUGUGUAUGGAAUGCAAUCAGCGCUCUGCAGCUGCUCCUACAUUAGUGUGCAUCGGAGGCACUCAAUGGGUACGUGCAUGAUCAUAUAUGGAGUGGUGACAAGCCUGCUUGUCCCACCUGGGAGGGCACAUGCUCCCUUGUGGUGACCUUGGGGA
rnacentral:lncRNA from 1 species